AAGCCUGGGAAACUGGGUCUAAUACCGAAUAUGACCGCGCACUUCCUGGUGUGUGGUGGAAAGCUUUUGCGGUGUGGGAUGGGCCCGCGGCCUAUCAGCUUGUUGGUGGGGUAAUGGCCUACCAAGGCGACGACGGGUAGCCGGCCUGAGAGGGUGACCGGCCACACUGGGACUGAGAUACGGCCCAGACUCCUACGGGAGGCAGCAGUGGGGAAUAUUGCACAAUGGGCGCAAGCCUGAUGCAGCGACGCCGCGUGAGGGAUGACGGCCUUCGGGUUGUAAACCUCUUUCAAUAGGGACGAAGCGCAAGUGACGGUACCUAUAGAAGAAGGACCGGCCAACUACGUGCCAGCAGCCGCGGUAAUACGUAGGGUCCGAGCGUUGUCCGGAAUUACUGGGCGUAAAGAGCUCGUAGGUGGUUUGUCGCGUUGUUCGUGAAAACUCACAGCUUAACUGUGGGCGUGCGGGCGAUACGGGCAGACUAGAGUACUGCAGGGGAGACUGGAAUUCCUGGUGUAGCGGUGGAAUGCGCAGAUAUCAGGAGGAACACCGGUGGCGAAGGCGGGUCUCUGGGCAGUAACUGACGCUGAGGAGCGAAAGCGUGGGGAGCGAACAGGAUUAGAUA
rnacentral:rRNA from 1 species